rnacentral:rRNA from 1 species
CCUGGCUCAGAUUGAACGCUGGCGGCAGGCCUAACACAUGCAAGUCGAACGGUAACAGAGAGUAGCUUGCUACUUUGCUGACGAGUGGCGGACGGGUGAGUAAUGUCUGGGGAUCUGCCUGAUGGAGGGGGAUAACUACUGGAAACGGUAGCUAAUACCGCAUAAUGUCGCAAGACCAAAGCGGGGGACUUUCGGGCCUCGCACCAUCAGAUGAACCCAGAUGGGAUUAGCUAGUAGGUAGGGUAAUGGCCUACCUAGGCGACGAUCCCUAGCUGGUCUGAGAGGAUGACCAGCCACACUGGAACUGAGACACGGUCCAGACUCCUACGGGAGGCAGCAGUGGGGAAUAUUGCACAAUGGGCGCAAGCCUGAUGCAGCCAUGCCGCGUGUAUGAAGAAGGCCUUCGGGUUGUAAAGUACUUUCAGUCAGGAGGAAGGGUGUGAAAUUAAUACUUUCAUGCAUUGACGU